UACGUAGGGUGCAAGCGUUAUCCGGAAUUAUUGGGCGUAAAGAGCUCGUAGGCGGUUUUGUCGCGUCUGCUGUGAAAACUGGAGGCUCAACCUCCAGCCUGCAGUGGGUACGGGCAAACUAGAGUGCGGUAGGGGGAGAUUGGAAUUCCUGGUGUAGCGGUGGAACGCGCAGAUAUCAGGAGGAACACCAAUGGCGAAGGCAGAUCUCUGGGCCGUAACUGACGCUGAGGAGCGAAAGCAUGGGGAGCGAACAGG
rnacentral:rRNA from 1 species